GUUGAAACACCAGUUCCCGUACGAUCAUCGAAGUUAAGCAACGUCGAGCCUGAUCAGUACCUAGAUGGGUGACCGCUUGGGAAAACCAGGUACAGUA